rnacentral:rRNA from 2 species
GGACUACUCGGGUAUCUAAUCCCGUUUGCUCCCCUAGCUUUCGCACCUCAGCGUCAGUUGUGGACCAGAGAGCCGCCUUCGCCACCGGUGUUCCUCCUGAUAUCUACGCAUUUCACCGCUCCACCAGGAGUUCCGCUCUCCCCUACCACACUCUAGCAUCGCAGUAUGCCGGGCAGUUCCACGGGUGAGCCGUGGGAUUUCACCCGACACUUACAACGCCGCCUACGUGCGCUUCAAGCCCAGUAAUUCCGAACAACGUUUGCACUCUCUGUAUUACCGCGGCGGCUGGCAC